rnacentral:lncRNA from 1 species
NUGGAUUCUUAGCCGUCUGAGCUACAGGGAAGCCUCAGAGGGGACAGAGUCACAGACAGAUCAGAAGGUCUUGCAGGAAGUUAGACCCGCUGGGCUGGGUACAACUCAUUAAUACACCUUCUCCCCACCCCCCUCCUACCUGUCUACCAGCUCCUCUUGGCUGUGGUUGCAUCAUUCCCACAGACCAUCUGUAUAAUGGUUUCUUCCCCGAAUCCUCCCUGUUAGCAUCUCACCGCUCUGUCCCCAUGGCUGCUGGUCACCUCUCCUGUUUCCUUGUAGCAAACUAAAAUAGGAAGCAAUAGGUAAGAAGAUGCUCACUGAAAGUAAAACAGAAGAAACGAUUGUCAUCUUCCCUCAAAAUCACGGGAGUUCUUUGGAGAAUGAGAAGAUGGCAACAACGUAGUGCUCAGAAAAACCAUGAGAGACCAUGGCUAAGGAUCCCGGUCUAUCAGAAAGUUGAUAUCUGUCUACUCUUUUAUGGCAAUCUCUCUGUGUGUCUCUCUCAUGCUUCUUUGAGCUCCAUCCGACCCCCAUGGCAGUCUCUUAUUGAGAAUGGCUGCCCUCAGACCACGGAGAUGGAAAAGUGAUCCCACUGUAGCUCCAGGUGGGGAAAAGAAUGGAGGGUACUGCCUUCCCCCAGCUGAAAGAAAUCCUGAAUUUGUCUGAUGGCCCAAUCAGGCCCCGAGAAGAUUAAAGUGCAGCGAACAUUCAGAAACUCUCUCUCUGCACCAGGGCUGGCUUCCUGGGUGUGUAGCCUGUGGGGUUGUUUACAGUCCUGCCCUUGGAAGAGCCCACACUUAGCUGAAUGCUUUGCUGUCAUUGUCUUGAAAUUCUUCAGACUUUUUGAGCAUGGGGCCCGCAUUUUCUCUUGGCACUGGGCCCUACAAAUUGCCUAUCUGUUUCUCUGCAGCCUAGUUCUGAAGCAUCCUAUUGUGCCUGAAAUGGGCCGGCAGGCUUGGUCAGUUAUGGAAAGGGAAAGUUUCCAUGGAGAACUGUGUGAUGUGCCUGGAAGAAAUCAUCGUAGCGCGAAGAAAGAUACUGAGAAAUUCUGCUCCAGGGAGAUAGUUCAGUAA